CUUAUGGAAUAAAAGGGAAUCAUGACAUGUCACACAUGUCAUGUGUCUUUAAGGAGUUAAAGGAGCUACAUAUUUCAUUGCUGGUUAUUGAAGUUAUAGUGAACCAGUCAAACUUAUCAAGAGCUUUGUGAAAUGCCUGUCUUUAUUGUGUUUGAUGAGGAAUUCGGGUUAGAUGAGGAAAAAUGUAUCUAAGCAAAAUUC